rnacentral:rRNA from 1 species
AUUGAACGCUGGCGGAAUGCUUUACACAUGCAAGUCGAACGGCAGCACGGACUUCGGUCUGGUGGCGAGUGGCGAACGGGUGAGUAAUGUAUCGGAACGUGCUCAGUCGUGGGGGAUAACGUAGUGAAAAUUACGCUAAUACCGCAUACGAUCUAUGGAUGAAAGCGGGGGAUCGCAAGACCUCGCGCGAUUGGAGCGACCGAUAUCAGAUUAGGUAGUUGGUGGGGUAAAGGCUCACCAAGCCAACGAUCUGUAGCUGGUCUGUGAGGACAACCAGCCACACUGGACCUGAGACACGGUCCAGGCGCCUACGGGAGGCAGCAGUGGGGAAUUUUGGACAAUGGGCGAAAGCCUGAUCCAGCCAUUCCGCGUGCAGGAUGAAGGCCCUCGGGUUAUAAACUGCUUUUGUACAGAACGAAAAGGUUUCUACUAAUACUAGGGGCUCAUGACGGUACUGUAAGAAUAAGCACCGGCUAACUCCGUGCCAGCGGCCGCCGUAA